rnacentral:rRNA from 1 species
GAUGAACGCUGGCGGCGUGCCUAAUACAUGCAAGUCGAGCGAAUGGAUUAAGAGCUUGCUCUUAUGAAGUUAGCGGCGGACGGGUGAGUAACACGUGGGUAACCUGCCCAUAAGACUGGGAUAACUCCGGGAAACCGGGGCUAAUACCGGAUAACAUUUUGAACCGCAUGGUUCGAAAUUGAAAGGCGGCUUCGGCUGUCACUUAUGGAUGGAUCCGGGUCGCAUUAGCUAGUUGGUGAGGUAACGGCUCACCAAGGCAACGAUGCGUAGCCGACCUGAGAGGGUGAUCGGCCACACUGGGACUGAGACACGGCCCAGACUCCUACGGAAGGCAGCAGUAGGGAAUCUUCCGCAAUGGACGAAAGUCUGACGGAGCAACGCCGCGUGAGUGAUGAAGGCUUUCGGGUCGUAAAACUCUGUUGUUAGGGAAGAACAAGUGCUAGUUGAAUAAGCUGGCACCUUGACGGUACCUAACCAGAAAGCCACGGCUAACUACGUGCCAGCCGCCGCAGUAA